UAAAAUAAAAUAUUUUUUAUUAUCAUUUUAUUCUGACAUAAUGAUUACAUCAAAAUAUCAAACAGUAAAAUCUAUUUAGGGUAUUUGAAUAGAUCUCUUAUUAGAAGAAGAUGGUGGAGUAAAACACCAACAUCUUCCCUUAAGACACCUUCCUAGAUUAGGAUCUUCACAGUUAGGUUGACAAUCUUGAUCUUUUUUACAAUAUAAUAUUCCUUCUGCCAAGCAAACAUCUACAUAUUCAAACAAUAAGAUUAGAAUUGAAUGUAAAAAUGAAAAAUUUGAAAGGUUAACUAAAAUGUUUGAAGUUAAACAUAAUAGCAUCAAACAUAUAUAAGUACAUUGGUUUCAAACCUGUUGCACAGAUGAAGAAUGUCAAUAAAAAUAAAAUGGCUAUAAGAGAUUUUCU
rnacentral:lncRNA from 1 species